rnacentral:rRNA from 1 species
GACGAACGCUGGCGGCGUGCUUAACACAUGCAAGUCGAACGGUAAGGCCCUUCGGGGUACACGAGUGGCGAACGGGUGAGUAACACGUGGGUGAUCUGCCCUGCACUUCGGGAUAAGCCUGGGAAACUGGGUCUAAUACCGGAUAGGACCACUGCCUGCAUGGGUGGUGGUGGAAAACUUUUGCGGUGUGGGAUGGGCCCGCGGCCUAUCAGCUUGUUGGUGGGGUGAUGGCCUACCAAGGCGACGACGGGUAGCCGGCCUGAGAGGGUGACCGGCCACACUGGGACUGAGAUACGGCCCAGACUCCUACGGGAGGCAGCAGUGGGGAAUAUUGCACAAUGGGCGCAAGCCUGAUGCAGCGACGCCGCGUGAGGGAUGACGGCCUUCGGGUUGUAAACCUCUUUCAGCACAGACGAAGCGCAAGUGACGGUAUGUGCAGAAGAAGGACCGGCCAACUACGUGCCAGCCGCCGCAGUAA